rnacentral:rRNA from 1 species
UAAUACGUAGGUGGCAAGCGUUGUCCGGAAUUAUUGGGCGUAAAGCGCGCGCAGGCGGUCCUUUAAGUCUGAUGUGAAAGCCCACGGCUCAACCGUGGAGGGUCAUUGGAAACUGGGGGACUUGAGUACAGAAGAGGAAAGCGGAAUUCCACGUGUAGCGGUGAAAUGCGUAGAGAUGUGGAGGAACACCAGUGGCGAAGGCGGCUUUCUGGUCUGUAACUGACGCUGAGGCGCGAAAGCGUGGGGAGCAAACAGGAUUAGAUACCCUGGUAGUCCACGCCGUAAACGAUGAGUGCUAAGUGUUAGAGGGUUUCCGCCCUUUAGUGCUGCAGCUAACGCAUUAAGCACUCCGCCUGGGGAGUACGGCCGCAAGGCUG